GUGCCCUGCUACAAAUGAUACUGUUUUGUUCCUUUAAACAUGUGAUCAGUUAACAAAUAUGCAGUAUAAUUUGUAGUAUUGUUUGUGAAGUUACUGCUGUUGUGAAAUAAGUUUAAUUAAUAUGGAGAAGUUCAUAAUCGUACUUUAUUUGGGAAGGUACUAAAAUGUCCCAUGUUCUGAACGGUCUGUGAAUGCCUCAUGAAGUUUCCUCUGUUUAAUUGAAUAACCAGGUGUCAAUCUCUUAUUAGCCAAUCCGUGCCUGUCAAAGUUGAAUGUUAACUACCUACCGGAUUCUGAGAAGGGGGUGGGACUAAAAAAGAGGAGACGAGGCUCAGGCUAGUAACGGGAGAAACGAGGAAAGGAAUAACGACGCAACGAAGGAGCUAGUUGUAAGCUAUUUAAAAGUGUUUAAUGUUACCGUUGUAACGGCAACUUAGAACCGGAGGGUUUUAUUGUGUGUUACCUGGUACAAAAUGUAAUAGUGAGCCAUGUUCGGAGCUGUUUCAGCCGGAAAUUAUACUCAAUGUCCGCGACGCCAUUUUCUGUUGUGUGUUAAUGCUAGUUAGCCUCGUCCUCGCUAGCUGGGAGAAGAAGGAGACUGUGUGUGUGAGGGAGAAUAUUUUGCGCCGGGUUUUGUGAUGUGCCUCAAGCCUACAUGCCUGCCGCCUGCCUGCUGCCACGUAUGCUACUGCUGCUGUAGAGGGUGCUCGGGACUUCGCUGCCGCCAGAGGACCUGAUGUCGCACAUGGACGUGUCUUCAGGACUGGUUUCUCCAUCUCAUCACCUUUCUUCACUGAACCGACGGUUUGAGGAAACUGCUGCUAACCGUUUCUGAAUCUCCAAGGAUUAGGCAGAGAGUGAAGGCUGAGUGAUUUCUGUGAUUAUCCUGAAACCAGAGGAGAAACAGAACUGAACAACCCAUGACAGCCUCUCCUGGAGGAAAGGGGAAGACCAUCACCAUUAUUAAAAGUGCAAUUCUCAUCACCACCAUCAUCAUCUUUUUAUUCCACUUCAUCACAGUCAUCAUCAUCAUCAGCUGCUCACCAUUUCCAUCAUUAUUUUCACUUCCUUUUCCAUUUUCAUUCACUAUCAUCGGGUUACAUCAUCCUCAUAUCAUCUCACCAGAUGAAAAUAACUUUUACCUCAGCACCAAAGUUAAGCCAGGUUCGACUCUUGAUGGAUGACACUAUAUAUUUUGCUGGACCUCUUUUUGGUCAGGAUCUCACGCAGUUCAGUCUAAAUGAAAUGAUUGAAUAGGCUCCUUUUGUUGAACAGGUCUGAAUACAGCCUUGGGGCACCUGUAUGCUUCAAAUGAAGUGCUGAUCGUCAAAUGGCAUUUGAGACGUGAUUUUUUUUUUACCAUUGGCACACUAAAAGCCUGAAAUAUCUCCUCAACGAAAAGCAUUUAGCAGCAAACCCGGAGGUCUGAGCUUGCACAGCCUCUAAAGCUAGCGCUAGCAGCCAGCCUUGUCGAGUCACACUCGACCAGGAGUUCAGAUGCAAACUGAGUACGUCUACCUGUGACCGACUAACUAACUUCCUUGCAAAAUGGAUUGCAGUGGACUGCAGGCCAGUUUGGGUGGUAGAGGACAGGGGGACAAUUGUAUCCGAAAUCCAGCAGUUUUACUACGACACAUUUGCCAAAAUUAAUUUGAAUUAAAGAAAAUUAAACAGCGAAAAAUGAUGUAUGUGAUUAAAUUUGAUCAAUUAAUCACAAAGCAUGUAUUUUUUUAAUUGCUUGGCAGCCCUAUUAAAAAUAUU